rnacentral:rRNA from 1 species
AUUGAACGCUGGCGGCAUGCCUUACACAUGCAAGUCGAACGGUAACGCGGGGCAACCUGGCGACGAGUGGCGAACGGGUGAGUAAUGCAUCGGAACGUGCCUGGUAGUGGGGGAUAACUGCUCGAAAGAGCAGCUAAUACCGCAUACGACCUGAGGGUGAAAGGGGGGCAGUCGCAAGACCUCUCGCUAUCAGAGCGGCCGAUGUCGGAUUAGCUAGUUGGUGGGGUAAGAGCCCACCAAGGCGACGAUCCGUAGCUGGUCUGAGAGGACGACCAGCCACACUGGGACUGAGACACGGCCCCAGACUCCUACGGGAGGCAGCAGUGGGGAAUUUUGGACAAUGGACGCAAGUCUGAUCCAGCCAUGCCGCGUGCGGGAAGAAGGCCUCGGGUUGUAAACCGCUUUUGUCAGGGAAGAAAUCUUCUGGGCUAAUACCCUGGGAGGAUGACGGUACCUGAAGAAUAAGCACCGGCUAACUACGUGCCAGCAGCCGCGGUAAUACGUAGGGUGCAAGCGUUAAUCGGAAUUACUAGGCGUAAAGCGUGCGCAGGCGGUUAUGCAAGACAGGUGUGAAAUCCCCGAGCUCAACUUGGGAACUGCACUUGUGACUGCAUAGCUAGAGUACGGUAGAGGGGAGUGGAAUUCCGCGUGUAGCAGUGAAAUGCGUAGAUAUGCGGAGGAACACCGAUGGCGAAGGCAGCUCCCUGGACCUGUACUGACGCUCAUGCACGAAAGCGUGGGGAGCAAACAGGAUUAGAUACCC